rnacentral:rRNA from 1 species
UCCGUAGGCGGUGUAGCAAGUCGAUAGUGAAAUCUCUGGGCUUAACUCAGAGGCUGCUAACGAAACUGCUAUGCUAGAGUGUGAGAGAGGCGAGUGGAAUUACGGGUGUAGCGGUGAAAUGCGUAGAUAUCCGUAGGAACAUCCGAGGCGAAGGCGGCUCGCUGGAUCACAACUGACGCUGAGGGACGAAAGCUAGGGGAGCAAACAGGAUUAGAUACCCUGGUAGUCCUAGCCCUAAACCAUCAGGACUUGGGGUUUGCCCUGUACGGGGCAAGUCCCGUAGCUAACGCGUUAAGUCCUGCGCCUGGGGAGUACGGUCGCAAGGCUGAA